CUCGUUCUCGAGUGGUUGCGCUUCAAUUUUCGCUUCACGCUCGCGAGGCAUGCACGACUUACCGGCAUGUCUUUUAACGAAUCGCCGGCCCGAGGGAUCGGCAGUUGCCACUUUGAAGACGCGCCACCGGCGCGCACCACGUCCUCGGAUUUACCGCCGCGAAACCCAGCUGCGCCGUGCCGCCCCCAGGGAUCUUGCCGUCAGCGUGGGUCAACUCAGCCUGCUGGGACCUCGGAUGUUGCGAGUAGGAUCCUGGUGGAGCUACACCCUCUCACUCCGAGCAAGCUGCUUUCCCUUUUCGAACGUCCAGGGACAAUGAUGUCCGACCUCCGGCCGAGCGAACAAGCGC
rnacentral:misc_RNA from 1 species